UCGUCGUCCAUUUCCGUCGGCUGCUAUACACGUGCGUCUGACCUGGCCUUACUGCCCACCAUUACCACACAGACAUACUUUGUCCCUUUUGUGCUGGUCAAUCUCCCUUACUGGCUCACGUCCAUCAUCUCAUUGGUAGAAGAAGAAGAACAUAAGAACUCGCUCUACUGCUGUAGACCUAUUUGGACUGUUGUGGCCGAAAGAAACCAGCAGGAGCUAUCCCGACAAAGCUGUAGAACAUAGAACUAUGAUACGUUUCUCUAGUACCAUCCGGUUCCUCUGCUUCCUAUCCUCAUGAACCGCGAGGCAGUUUCCAGAUUUCAGAUCAGCAGAAGACACUGAUACGUACCAGGACCAAACUGAUUUCUCAAAUUACCCUGCAACAAAACCUGAAUACCCCUCCCUCAGCGGAAGUAAAGGAAGCCAGGGUCUCGUACAGCGACUCUGGUGUCUCCAAGACGAUGCCCUACAACCACCACCGGCAACAGGAACCACGCUCAACGUUUCACGAACAACUGCUGUCUUCUGGACCGCUCACCUGAAGACCAUCACUGUGACUCAAGCACACUGACACCAGAGUCCUAUGGAACAAGUACGGACAUUAAGUAAUAGCGCUAAGACCGCCUCGUUUGCUCCGCAGACAAUGGAGCAUAAGCGAAGUUUGUUCAACUGUCGCACGGUGAGCAGACGAUCAGUGUCAUUCAAAGACACACUAUCCGAUUCCGCACUUCGUCGUGGUCGUACUAGUGAGACUACGAUCCAACGUCCUCACAGUGACAGGCCUACUGACGGCGCAGAUGAUCACCCUUAAAUGGAGUCUCCUAUCAUAUAGUGGUCAUGCGUGAAGUGAGUUGAAGCCGAAGGGGAAGACUGUCUUGUACGAUGCUUACGGACUCGUUCGAUGUGUAACGGGAGGAACACUUGGAUAGUACGACAUGCAAUAAAGGAAAUUUGC